rnacentral:rRNA from 1 species
UAGGGAAUAUUGGGCAAUGGAGGAAACUCUGACCCAGCCAUGCCGCGUGAAGGAUGAAGGUCCUACGGAUUGUAAACUUCUUUUAUUAGGGAAGAAACCCUCGUAUUCAUAUGAGGCUGACGGUACCUAAAGAAUAAGCACCGGCUAACUCCGUGCCAGCAGCCGCGGUAAUACGGAGGGUGCAAGCGUUAUCCGGAUUCACUGGGUUUAAAGGGUGCGUAGGCGGAAUGAUAAGUCAGUGGUGAAAGCCCCGAGCUCAACUUGGGAAUUGCCAUUGAUACUGUUGUUCUUGAGUUCGGUUGAGGUAGGCGGAAUGUUGCAUGUAGCGGUGAAAUGCUUAGAUAUGCAACAGAACACCGAUUGCGAAGGCAGCUUACCAAGCCGACACUGACGCUGAGGCACGAAAGCGUGGGGAUCAAACAG